rnacentral:rRNA from 1 species
UAUGCUUAGCCUUAAACCCAGAUGCACUCUUACAUUUUCAUCCGCCAGGGUACUACAAGCGCAGCUUAAAACCCAAAGGACUUGGCGGUGCCUCAGACCCACCUAGAGGAGCCUGUUCUAAAACCGAUAACCCCCGUUAAACCUCACCACUUCUUGUUUUCCCCGCCUAUAUACCGCCGUCGUCAGCUUACCCUGUGAAGGCCUAGCAGUAAGCAAAACGGGCCCGCCCAAAAACGUCAGGUCGAGGUGUAGCGUACGAAGUGGGAAGAAAUGGGCUACAUUUUCUACAAUAGAAUAUUACGGACGGCGCUCUGAAAUUAGUGCCUAAAGGUGGAUUUAGUAGUAAAAAACAAAUAGAGAGUCUUUUUGAAUUAGGCUCUGAGGCGC